GACGAACGCUGGCGGCGUGCCUAAUACAUGCAAGUCGAGCGAAGCGGCGGAUGGGUGAGUAACGCGUGGGCAACCUGCCCUUAAGUCUGGGAUACCAUUAGGAAACAGAUGCUAAAAACGGAUACAGAGGGAUCGACCUACGAUGAAUUAGCUAGUUGGUAAGGUAACGGAUUACAAAGGCGAUGAUGCAUAGCCGAUGUGAGAGACUGAUCGGCCACAGUGGGACUGGGACACGGCCCAAACUCCUACGGGAGUCAGCAGUAGGGAAUCUUCCACAAUGGACGAAAGUCUGAUGGAGCAACGCCGCGUGAGUGAAGAAGGUUUUCGGAUCGUAAAGCUCUGUUGUUGGUGAAGCGGUAAUCAACCAGAAAGUCACGGCUAACUACGUGCCAGCCGCCGCGGUAAUAC
rnacentral:rRNA from 1 species